rnacentral:rRNA from 1 species
AUUGAACGCUGGCGGCAUGCCUUACACAUACAAGUCGAACGGCAGCAUGAUCUAGCUUGCUAGAUUGAUUGCGAGUGGCGAACGGGUGAGUAAUACAUCUGAACGUGCCCUGUAGUGGGGGAUAACUAGUCGAAAGAUUAGCUAAUACCGCAUACGACCUGAGGGUGAAAGUGGGGGACCGCAAGGCCUCAUGCUAUAGGAUCGGCCGAUGUCUGAUUAGCUAGUUGGUGAGGUAAAGGCUCACCAAGGCGACGAUCAGUAGCUGGUCUGAGAGGACGAUCAGCCACACUGGGACUGAGACACGGCCCAGACUCCUACGGGAGGCAGCAGUGGGGAAUUUUGGACAAUGGGCGAAAGCCUGAUCCAGCAAUGCCGCGUGAGUGAAGAAGGCCUUCGGGUUGUAAAGCACUGUUGUCAGGAAAGAAAUGGCUCGGGUUAAUACCUGGGGUUGAUGACGGUACCGGAAGAAUAAGGACCGGCUAACUACGUG